rnacentral:lncRNA from 1 species
GACCCCUCCACCAACCAGUGUCCUGAAUCAUUCUCAUAAGAGCCCCAACCUUAGGUGAACUGAAGUGGUCCACCACAGAGGGAGGACCCGAUGGCUACCUCAUCCACGUUGCCACUGUUAAAGUUCGGACCAUGAAUCCUGCCCUGGUCGUGCCUGCUGUCCUGGUCGUGCAUGCUGCUCUGUCCGUCUGUCAUUUGUGAUAUUGCGUUGUGUAAAAAAGUUGGAUUUGAUUUGAUUUGAUGGUUGUGUUCUACUUUGAAAUAAAUGUUUGAAUUUGAA